rnacentral:pre_miRNA from 1 species
AGGAGGGCAAUUUUAUGACUUUCACGGUCUGUAUCCCGAGAAUCUCGGUAGUAUAUAGCCUGGCCAAUGUCAUGGAGUUGCUCUCUACA